AUUGAACGCUGGCGGCAGGCCUAACACAUGCAAGUCGAACGGUAACAGGAAACAGCUUGCUGUUUCGCUGACGAGUGGCGGACGGGUGAGUAAUGUCUGGGAAACUGCCUGAUGGAGGGGGAUAACUACUGGAAACGGUAGCUAAUACCGCAUAACGUCGCAAGACCAAAGAGGGGGACCUUCGGGCCUCUUGCCAUCGGAUGUGCCCAGAUGGGAUUAGCUAGUAGGUGGGGUAACGGCUCACCUAGGCGACGAUCCCUAGCUGGUCUGAGAGGAUGACCAGCCACACUGGAACUGAGACACGGUCCAGACUCCUGCGGGAGGCAGCAGUGGGGAAUAUUGCACAAUGGGCGCAAGCCUGAUGCAGCCAUGCCGCGUGUAUGAAGAAGGCCUUCGGGUUGUAAAGUACUUUCAGCGGGGAGGAAGGGAGUAAAGUUAAUACCUUUGCUCAUUGACGUUACCCGCAGAAGAAGCACCGGCUAACUCCGUG
rnacentral:rRNA from 1 species